CAUGACAGAUUUUGUAAGUCACAUCUUCAGAGAAAUAUUCAUCUUGGCCUGUUGGACAAUCUGGAAAAUAGAAAUGGUGUCAUCUUUAACAAUAGAGUAGCCUCCCUUGCUGAAUGGAAAAUUCUUCAAAAAGAAGAACUUGGCCUGGUUUGUAUCAAGGCCAAGAAAAGGAUUAUUGAUCCCCUAAAAACGUGGUGUGAGAGUAGACUUUAACAGCUCCUUUGUAUUUUUGUUUUUGGCCUUGAAGGCCUUCUUGUAUUCUUUAUUCUUUUGUUUAUACCUUAAUAAAAGAAAAAAUAGGUAGGGGUCUUCCCUGCCGAUUGCUUCAAAAAAAAAAGAUAGAUGUAUGGUGAAGAAAGAGAGGCCAUGGAUACGAAGGUGAUGACAAAAAAAGGAUAAAAAAUAUAAAUGUAUUAUGAGCAUUUUACUUUUAUCUACCAUGAGAAACUGGUUUAUCAAAACAGCUUCAGGUGCUAAAGAAAAAAAUUGUUCCACC
rnacentral:lncRNA from 1 species